CCCUUAGAUGUUCUGGGCCGCACGCGCGCUACACUGACGAUGGCAACGAGUUUUUCCUUCGCCGAAAGGUGUGGGUAAUCUUUUGAAAUAUCGUCGUGCUGGGGAUAGAUCAUUGCAAUUUUUGAUCUUGAACGAGGAAUUCCUAGUAAGCGCGAGUCAUCAGCUCGCGUUGAUUACGUCCCUGCCCUUUGUACACACCGCCCGUCGCUACUACCGAUUGAAUGGUUUAGUGAGGACUCCUGAUUGGCGCCGCCGCCCCGGCAACGGAGCAGCGGACUGCCGAAAAGUUGUUCAAACUUGAUCAUUUAGAGGAAGUAAAAGUCGUAACA
rnacentral:rRNA from 1 species